CCCCACCCUGGGGCCCGGGGCCCGCGAGACCUGCGGGGUCUGCACUGCGGGGCCGGGGGCGGCCCCGUCCCCGCCUCGGCCCCCUGAGACUCGAUGAGGCACAGCUUGACGAAGCUGCUGGCGGCCUCGGGCAGCGGCUCUCCGGCCCGGAGCGGGAGCCCAGCGCCGGCGCCCUCCCCGGCCUCGGGCUGUCUGCGCCCCCCGGGCCUGGCCCGGGUGGUGGCCGGAGAGGAGGGCAGUAGCGGCGGCGGCGGCGGCGAGGAGGAGGAGGAAGAAGGGGACGGGCCUCCGCGGCGGCAGGAGGGCGCCCCGGAGGCCGCGCCGGCUGAGGAGAAGAUGGAGGAGGAGGAGGAGCCGCCCGCAUCUGCCGCCCGCUCCGAGGAGCCGGAGGACAUGGACUUUCUGUCGGGCCUCGAGCUGGCCGACUUGCUGGACCCGCGGCAGCCCGACUGGGACCUGGAGCCGGGUCUGAGCUCACCGGGGCCGCUGUCGUCGGGAGGCGGCUCGGACAGCGGCUGCCUAUGGAGAGGGGACGACGACGACGAGAUGGCGGCCGCGGCCGCCGAGAUGCAGCGCUUCUCGGACCUGCUGCAGAGAUUGGUGAACGGCGGCGGGUCGGGCUCGGGCUCCAGCGGGGGCGGCAGCGGCGGCGGCGGCGGAGGCAGCAGCGCUGGGGCCUGCGCCGGCGGCGGCGGCUCGGGAGGCGGCGGCGAGAGGCGGCGGAGGAAGAACCCCGGAGCGGGAGGCGGAGACGGUGGCGGCGGCGGCAGCAGCCACGGCUCGGCAGCGGCCAAGAGUCCCCGCAAAGCGGCCGCCGCCGCGGCCCGCCUCAACCGGCUGAAGAAGAAGGAAUACGUGAUGGGGCUGGAGAGCCGCGUCCGGGGCCUGGCCGCCGAGAACCAGGAGCUGCGGGCCGAGAACCGGGAGCUGGGCAAGCGCGUGCAGGCACUGCAGGAGGAGAGCCGCUACCUGAGGGCCGUGCUGGCCAACGAGACGGGCCUGGCGCGGCUGCUGAGCCGGCUGAGCGGCGGGGGACUGCGACUCACCACCUCCCUCUUCAGGGACUCGCCCGCUGGGGACCACGACUACGCCCUGCCCCUGGGCGAGCGGCGGCAGGACGCUGCGGACGACGAGGACCCUGCGGGCGGAGUAUGUCUCCACGUGGACAAGGAUAAGGUGUCGGUGGAGUUCUGCUCGGCGUGUGCCAGGAAGGCCUCGUCUUCUCUUAAAAUUUUCUUUUUUAGGUGAUUUCCUCCCUGCCAGGCUCCGUUGUAGGGGUUACAGAACAGUCGUACCAGCCUCACAACCUGGUAAGGAUCCAUCUCUUCCCCUAAAAGCUCAUGCACUGCUGGUUAGUCUACUUAAAUGGGCAAGCAUACACAAUUGUUUGUAUUGGGGGAUUUAAAACAAAACAAACAAACAAAACAAAUGAAAAAAAAAAAAAAAAAACCUAAUUUGGGCCCUGUCCACCCUGGAAACAGACUUGUGCUGGCCACUAGUGUGUUUAAGAUGCCUCCUCUGAUUGAAACAGCUGUUGAUGUGUGUGCCCUGUUCAAACUUACUUGUAUCUAGCUGUUCUGUCCCCAGUGUGGACACGGCCUUCGGUGACAUCGUUCCAACUGUGCAGUGAAACCUGCUUAUAGCCAUACAGUUUGGACGCAGUGAAAAAAGGUGAAGUUGAAUGGAAGUUCCAGUUGUACAAGGUGCAAAUUGGAAUUCCAGUUGGAGUGCAAUUUUGCAGGGGUUGGCUAUAUGAUUAAAUUCUGUUGUACUUUUCAAACAGCUUUGAGUAUUUGGGGCAUGAACCAAUAUUCUGUAGUUCUAAUAGAGAUGGUAAAAUCUCUUGAAUAUUCAGGAAUGCCUCUUAGUUUCCUAUAUAAGAUAUAUAACCUUAUACAGGCUCAUUAGAUUACGGAUCUAAAUAGAGAAUUGGAAAUAAUAUGCAUACCAGACUCCUUUAUUUAGUUAACUGACAUUGAGAAGAGUAAUAAUGUUUAAAUAAAAUUGUUUCCUUGAGGACCAGCACAGUGAUUCAGUCACUGAAUAUGAAUGAGUUGUUGAAUAUCUUUAUUUUGUUGUAUUAAAAUUUAUAAGUUAAAAUUUGUGUCUGUACCAUUAGAGAUUUUAAAGAUGGUUAAAUGAAUGAAAAAAAAUGUAAAGUGAGGUUUCACAAAGGAUGAACUCCAAAUAUAAAAGCUAAAAUAUUUGUCUCCUUUUUAGUAAAUGAAAAAUUUUGGUGUAACCAACAAGGUUUAAAAUACUUGAUAUAUAGUAGAGAAGCUUUUUCCAUAAUUGGACUGCUCUCUUAUAUCCUUUGACAGUAUACUUAUUAGUAGGUAUGUACUUCAAUUGGAGACUGAUAGAAAUUCUUUGUGAAACGUCACUGUUUGAUAAAAUAUACGUGUAUUUAGCAUCCUUGUUUUUCUUUAUGCUAAAGUGGAUACAGCUGUUGGGGCAGAAGAGACGGGACCAGCUGCUGGCCACAUUUCCUGCUUUAUUUUAAAAGCUUAGCAGUCUGCAAAAACGAAUCUUUCCCUACAACCUGUAACUGACUGGACUGAUGGUAACAAAGUAGUUGUGGGAGCCAUAUCGGUCACAAAUUUUGGCAUCUGCUGAAAAAUGAAUGCCAUUUCAAGUCCCCAAAUUACUUCUAUACUGAUUUCACUUUCCUGAAGUGGAGAUUUGAAAAGAUUCUCUGGAAUCCUUGAAAGACUUAAUAGAAACACUUGAGACUAAUGGGUUAAUUUUUGGAUAAAAUAUUGUCUUUCAGAGGAGUCAUAAUUCAGUUCUUUGCAGUACCCUUUAAAAUCGGAACUGCCCCUUGGACAAGAGAAUUAUAUAUGAUUUUUUCUAAUACUUUUCAGUUUCUUUAACAAGAAACAGAGACUAGUGAAUUACAUUUCACAAACUAGAAUUAACAGGCAUCAAUGGUUAUAAGAUGUACAUAUUUUGUGCUCACUUAACUGUAUGUAACCUGGCAGUGUUUGUGAAGCUGAUGCAUUAACUUUGCUGAACUUAGUAAAAUAAUGCAAAGUUCAUUAUUUAAAGGGGAAUCCUCUUGUAGAUGUUCAAUUGUUUUGUUUUCAUAUUCACGGAGGAAUUUUGAUUGGUAAAAUGUGUGGGACUAUCUUAAUGAAAUGGAGAAGUUACAUAGGCAAGAAAUGAUGGAUUUUCUUUUUUUUCCUAUUAUGAUUAAUUUGACAAUGUUGGGAACAAUUUAAAGUUUCUAAUAACUCUUGUAUUAGUUUUUUAUUCACUUUCAUGUCAAAUGGUCUAUUGUUAUGUAAUGGCUUGAGCACUCUGGAUUUGAGAAGUGAUUUCUUUGUAGCAAAUGGUUUUAUGCCUCAUACAUUUGCCCUAGCUUACAAUGUGUGAUAGAAUUUCAUAGAACUCUGGAUUUCAAUAAGUUUUACUUGUUAGAUAGUGUCCUCUUCCCCUUCCGGGCAUUCCCAUAACCCUCCAGGACUAAUGUUAAUAAGUACAAGUUCUAAUUUCAAAGCAGAUUUUGUUAUACUGGAUAUCUCAAGUUAUAGCAUGAAUGUGGUUGGAUUCAGGGGAUAGAUUUCUAUUCUCCAUCAAAAUUAAAUUCAAUAAAUAGAUAUUUAUUGAAGGAAGCAGUUAAAACUUAAUUUAAAUUGGCUCUGCUCAUUCCCUUGUUAAUAGCAGUGAAGAGUCUUACCAAUAAUUAGUUGGAUGCCUAAGGAAUUCUGGCUCUAUGCAGGUACAGUGUUGAUAAAGCAGAGCCAUCUCUAUCAUUAUUCAUGGAGUUAUGGAUUUCUUUUAUGUAAAACACUAGUAUUGUCCCUUCUGGUGGCUAGAGAAUUCUUUUUGACAGAAUACAAGAUAAAACUGAUAAUUAGGAAUUGUGCAGUUUAAUGUUUUGGAGCUGUGAAACAGUGGUCCCUGCUAACUAACAAUUUGAUAUGUAUUACAGAAUUUUAGGGCCAUAGGACUUUUUAUCUUGGGGUCUGACAUCUAUGAAUCAGUAAUAAGAUUUUUUUUUAAAAGUAAGCAGGCCCACUGUGAAUCUGAAAUUUGAGGAAUCUUGAAAAUUUGUCAUAUUCUAGGUCUCUUGUUUUUGUUUUCAUGCCUUAAAAUACAUUGAUCUAUACUUUAAAACAUUCAGAAUAUAUUCAGAAGAUAUUUAAGGAUCCUUCUGUACUUUUAAGGAGAGCCAUCAUUAUGAGCAUUAAUUAUUGAUGAACAAUAUUGUAAAAAAGUGAUCUGGUUAUUUAAUUGGGUUUUGCUCUGUAUAUCUUUUUUCUUUUUCUCUCUCUUUUUUUUUUACCCCCUUGCUGUAAUCUCUUAAGUUGCCACCUGUUGGAUUUCUCUGAGCUGGAAUUUUUGUUUAACACUAGCUUCCCCUCAGUCCCCCUACUGAGGAGUAUUUUUAAAUCAUUCAUUAUUCAGUUUGAGCAGAUAUAGAACUAAGCAUAUAAAAUUGACAGAAUAUUUUGUGCUUUAUUUUUAACUGAAAUUUUAUUGAAUCUUUUCAUAAAUUACAAUGAAAUCAAUUGCAAACAUACUCUGGUCACUGAGGAUGUUUUGAAGAGUCUAAACUGUAAAUUGUAAAAUCAUAUUUGGGCUCUUACAUGUUUUACCUAAUUGCAGGGUGUAUGUUAUUGGUAGCCUCAAAGCAAUAAGAUAAUUUCAACCAGGAUGUGACACUUGUAGAUGUCUUGGCUUUUAGAAUUGAGUAACUUGGAUUAUGAAGUUAGCAUAUUAUGGUAAUUAGAAUAUAAUAUAAUUUGAUCGAUUUUGUUGAGGCAGCAGUGAUAAUUUUCAUAUCAUUAAUUGUAAAGUAAUAUGUUGUAAGAAACAUCGGAAAAUAUUAGAAAAUAGUUGAUCAUUUAAAAAAUAUGGGAAAUUGUAAAUGCUUACUGUGUAAAUUUUUAAAAAGUUGAAAACCAUUCAAAAUAUUAAAGUUUUGAACCAACAUUUAGCAUAUGUGAAACAGAAGACAAACUUUAUGUAAUUUCAAUUCGUUGAAACAUUUAUUGAGCACUGAUUAUGUGCAUUGUUGGCACCAUGCUGGGGAGAGACAGAUUAUGUCUAAGACAUAAGAAGGCAGCAUAUGUAGUAAAGGUUUCUAAAUAAUUUGAAUAGUUUUCAAGACAGUUUUAAAUUAUUUAACAGUUCAGCCAGUUUCAUAAUUUGUCAAUGAUGGUUUUAGACAUUAAAUAGUACUAUGCCUAUGUUUUUGAGAAUAUGUGCUGACCAAAAAAAAAAAAUGGGCUUUAAAGAUAUGAUUCAUGGAUUCUUGAUUUGACCUUAAUGUCGUGUAGGUGUGUUUAAAAAAAAAAAAUAAAACCAAAAAAGAAUUAGCUUUCA